AAUGAAGAACAAAGAAAUUUUUUUAUCAGAUUAUUAAACUUAUAUAAAAUUUAAUAUGAUACAAUAUCGAGAUCAAGAGGGUGAAUAUCGGUAUCUUAUUCAGAAAAAUGAUUACCAGUGGCUGAAUUUAUUGAUAUACCUUCUUAUAAAAUAAAUUCGCCGUUUCUAUUUUAUCAGUUACCAUUUCUACAGCUCUCAAUUUUAUCCAGUGAGUUUUCUUGCAGUCGUACGGUAUAAAACCAAGUGUGUUGAUCAGCUGUCGAGGGGUUGGAGCAGUACCAGACAAAGUUACCCUUAUUUCCGAAAAUCGAUGAACGACCUCCGAGUUCCUUCUGUGGCUUUUAGAUGUCGCGAAUUUAUAGAUUUCAAAAAACUGAAGUUAUUGGCUGUAUCUAGACCUUUUAAUGAGUCUAUUUAUUUCGUAAUCGAUGCAUGAUAAACUUUAAUACUUUAAAUGACAGCAUGAGCUUUGAAAAUUUUGAAAAAAGAUAUUGUAGGUCUUGAAAUUUUUAUAGAUUAAUCUCUCGAUUGAAAAAAGGUUUAAAAAUGAUUAAAUUAAUAGAAAAGUUUAAUAAACUAAAUUACUAAUUAGCAAAUAAUAAUUUAUCCUUGUAAUUCGAAACCAACCGAGUAAACUAAGGGAUACUUUUUUAUUAUCAAAUGUGUUUGCUUGAAUAAAAAAAAAAUAUUAUCUACAAUGAAUCGUUUGUCGAAAUCUCCUAAAAUGUUUACUUGGCAUCAAAGUCAUCGGAAUUGCAAGGUUUACGUUUACUUUGCCUCCCGUUCGAGGGUUAAAAUCCUCAAAGUAACGAUAUAUUCGUAGAGUUUUUUCGUUGAAUGCUUGAAUUUUUUUCAUCUCCUUCUUUACCUUUAUUUAUUUAUUCUUUUUUUAUAUUUUAUCUCACUACAGUAAGAUCUAUCAGGGUCCAACUCUCCUUUUCUAGUUUCUCAUAGAAAGAAAUCUCGAGAGCUACAGUCUGAAGUCCAGGACUCGCUUUGGCAACGGAGGGUGAGCGGUCACUCGGGAUUACGCUGGUCAUAUAUAUAUAUAUAUACAACCUCGGAUAUAUAUUUACGUGUAAAAAUCCACCAAUUCUUAUCAAAGUAGCCAAUCAUUUCGAAGUUUCGAUAUUUUCAAUGCUCAACAUUUUAUUUGUGGAAAUGUCACCGUCAGAUUGUUCAGAAUAUUUGCUGGAGAUUAAUAAGAAGCCAUUAUUCAUUAAUUAUUAAUGAUAAAAAAAAAAGAAUGAAUGAAAGAGGUAUCGGACUUAUUGGCUAUUUUGAGGACGUGUUUAAUAACAUAUGAAGUGAAAUUACAAUUGGAUGAAUGAAGAGGAUGACUCCACCGAAGUAAACCGUGAGAAAAAAGCCAAAGUGAAAUCUAAUUCACAGUAGGAAGGUCUAGUUGCUGAGGAGUUUUGAGUAAGUAUAUCGGCUGACAGUCUACAAAUCAUCCCCGCUGCUCGAUGCCCAGCGAAUAGGUUGUUUUGUUUCCUCGGAGAAUGUUUUGGCGGCGGAAACACUGGUAUCAUCGUACGUUUAACACUCCUUAACUUCAACAGUGUACAAUGCUUGUGAAAAGCUCGAGAAAUCGGGGCAAGGGGUGGAUAACUUCACCAACUGGAACUCUCAUCUUUUCACUUACAUUCGCAAGAUAUUACAGAUGGGGAGAGCGGCUGCGCUUAAGAAAUUAUGUGUUUGUUAGCUAUCAAAUGCGCACUGGGAAAGUUUGAGUAUGAUAAUGAGUAAUUAUGCAGACUGUUGAUACAUAUAAAAAGAAAACAGCCAUCUGGCAGUGAUAACCCUAAAGGAAAAGUAGCAGAACAAGUGUUUAUAAGGGAGCAUUUAUAUGAAUGUUAAAAACAUAGAAGAGCAUUAAACAAUUCUCGAUAUCCUCGCCCGGAAAAGUGCUCCAGAUCUGCACACUACAUUCGAUGGGAUUAAAAUUCAGAGUGUUUUGGCGGUGGCACGUGAGGAUGAUGUUUUAAGGUGCGUGGACUCAGCGGGGGCUCGUAUAUAGUAAUCUGAGUUGGUUCAGUGUAUCAGAUUGCAUCUUAGAUUCACAGUCCAAGUUUGUGCUUUGACCAUGCCGACACGUUCUCUCAGAGUUGCUUACUCAGGGCUACUUCUAUUUCAUUCUUUAGAUAUAUUUUUUUUUUUUUUUUUUUCAGUCAGAGUGACAAAAGUUUUUCAUUUUGUUAAGUAGCUUUAAAUUUCAAUUGAAAAAUAAAUUUUUUUAUCUUAGAUAAAAUUUUUACUUAUCAAAAUUACAA